rnacentral:rRNA from 1 species
AGACCCGAAACCCGGUGAUCUAGCCAUGGGCAGGUUGAAGGUUGGGUAACACUAACUGGAGGACCGAACCGACUAAUGUUGAAAAAUUAGCGGAUGACCUGUGGCUGGGGGUGAAAGGCCAAUCAAACCGGGAGAUAGCUGGUUCUCCCCGAAAGCUAUUUAGGUAGCGCCUCGUGAAUUCAUCUCCGGGGGUAGAGCACUGUUUCGGCUAGGGGGCCAUCCCGGCUUACCAACCCGAUGCAAACUGCGAAUACCGGAGAAUGUUAUCACGGGAGACACACGGCGGGUGCUAACGUCCGUCGUGAAGAGGGAAACAACCCAGACCGCCAGCUAAGGUCCCAAAGUCAUGGUUAAGUGGGAAACGAUGUGGGAAGGCCCAGACAGCCAGGAUGUUGGCUUAGAAGCAGCCAUCAUUUAAAGAAAGCGUAAUAGCUCACUGGUCGAGUCGGCCUGCGCGGAAGAUGUAACGGGGCUAAACCAUGCACCGAAGCUGCGGCAGCGACGCUGAUGCGUUGUUGGGUAGGGGAGCGUUCUGUAAGCCUGUGAAGGUGGCCUGUGAGGGUUGCUGGAGGUAUCAGAAGUGCGAAUGCUGACAUAAGUAACGAUAAAGCGGGUGAAAAGCCCGCUCGCCGGAAGACCAAGGGUUCCUGUCCAACGUUAAUCGGGGCAGGGUGAGUCGACCCCUAAGGCGAGGCCGAAAGGCGUAGUCGAUGGGAAACGGGUUAAUAUUCCCGUACUUGGUGUUACUGCGAAGGGGGGACGGAGAAGGCUAUGUUGGCCGGGCGACGGUUGUCCCGGUUUAAGCGUGUAGGUGUGUGUUCCAGGUAAAUCCGGUUCACUUUAACACUGAGGCGUGAUGACGAGGCACUACGGUGCUGAAGCAACAAAUGCCCUGCUUCCAGGAAAAGCCUCUAAGCAUCAGGUAACAUCAAAUCGUACCCCAAACCGACACAGGUGGUCAGGUAGAGAAUACCAAGGCGCUUGAGAGAACUCGGGUGAAGGAACUAGGCAAAAUGGUGCCGUAACUUCGGGAGAAGGCACGCUGACACGUAGGUGAAGUGAUUUACUCAUGGAGCUGAAGUCAGUCGAAGAUACCAGCUGGCUGCAACUGUUUAUUAAAAACACAGCACUGUGCAAACACGAAAGUGGACGUAUACGGUGUGACGCCUGCCCGGUGCCGGAAGGUUAAUUGAUGGGGUCAGCGCAAGCGAAGCUCCUGAUCGAAGCCCCGGUAAACGGCGGCCGUAACUAUAACGGUCCUAAGGUAGCGAAAUUCCUUGUCGGGUAAGUUCCGACCUGCACGAAUGGCGUAAUGAUGGCCAGGCUGUCUCCACCCGAGACUCAGUGAAAUUGAACUCGCUGUGAAGAUGCAGUGUACCCGCGGCAAGACGGAAAGACCCCGUGAACCUUUACUAUAGCUUGACACUGAACAUUGAGCCUUGAUGUGUAGGAUAGGUGGGAGGCUUUGAAGUGUGGACGCCAGUCUGCAUGGAGCCGGCCUUGAAAUACCACCCUUUAAUGUUUGAUGUUCUAACGUGGACCCGUGAUCCGGGUUGCGGACAGUGUCUGGUGGGUAGUUUGACUGGGGCGGUCUCCUCCUAAAGAGUAACGGAGGAGCACGAAGGUUGGCUAAUCCUGGUCGGACAUCAGGAGGUUAGUGCAAUGGCAUAAGCCAGCUUGACUGCGAGCGUGACGGCGCGAGCAGGUGCGAAAGCAGGUCAUAGUGAUCCGGUGGUUCUGAAUGGAAGGGCCAUCGCUCAACGGAUAAAAGGUACUCCGGGGAUAACAGGCUGAUACCGCCCAAGAGUUCAUAUCGACGGCGGUGUUUGGCACCUCGAUGUCGGCUCAUCACAUCCUGGGGCUGAAGUAGGUCCCAAGGGUAUGGCUGUUCGCCAUUUAAAGUGGUACGCGAGCUGGGUUUAGAACGUCGUGAGACAGUUCGGUCCCUAUCUGCCGUGGGCGCUGGAGAACUGAGGGGGGCUGCUCCUAGUACGAGAGGACCGGAGUGGACGCAUCACUGGUGUUCGGGUUGUCAUGCCAAUGGCACUGCCCGGUAGCUAAAUGCGGAAGAGAUAAGUGCUGAAAGCAUCUAAGCACGAAACUUGCCCCGAGAUGAGUUCUCCCUGAGACUUAGAGUCUCCUGAAGGAAC